GUUAUGUGUGCAUUUGCUCGGCAUACGAUUAGGCCAUCCGACUGUCACAGAGACUCCCAGGGCUAGGGAUCUCAACCCGCCAAUCGAAUCCAACACACUAACAUUGAAAGGGGACUUUACUACAAUUGCUCUACUCUACGAUAUACAAAAUAGGAGUCAUCAUACAGGGAUCUCGGUGGAUCGAUCCCACACUCGCCCACCCUACCUGGAUCCAGUAUUUCCAUUUCUUGCGUUUCUCUGAAUCCCCUUGAACCACAUAAAUUAAUUUAUUUUUCUAAUCUGUCCAUCAGAUCUGUGAAACAUGUCUUGCUGGUUCGCCUGAUAAUUCUCGAUCCGACACCCUGAAAAUAUCGUGUCACUACCAAACAUCGAUCGAGUUCCGAGUCCGGGAAACUCGCUGGUAAUUCCCCUAUAACAGGUCAACAUUUGGGAAGAUCAAAAACGCUCAUAAAUUUUACAAUACGCAUUCGGUUAUUUAUAAAAUCCCGCAUUCAGUAUUUCUACUAAGACAAGCUCAGAGGAACGGAUGGGAUUUAUCGACCCACUCCUUUGGGACCUUCACUACAAAAAGGUAAACAUCCGGAACAACCCAAUAAUUCUAUCAACCCAAGACCUUGUGUGGAGUUGGAAUAUAUUUGUCCUCUCCGGCGGAUCUACACUGGUAAUACCCACCAGCUCUCAAUGAAAAAUUCUCCGAUUCCAUCAAAAUUUCACACAUUCUUCUUGGUUAUGGAUAUAAUCUUCAAAGUUGGAAUCUAUACGUACUUUGAUACACAAAUAAUUUGAUCAAAUUAUUGAAAUCAUGGUACAAUAAAAAGGUGGUGAAACAUUUUGCAUGCGGAAAUAUUUGUGCCUAUGCCUGUCUUGUCGUCGUGGUUGCCGAAGAACGGAUUUUGUAUGCGGUAUAUGCUGAUGUGAUUGAUAGGUAAACAAAUACCAUAAUCGUGGUGUCUACGUGAUUGUCUGGUAGAAUGUAGUUUUAUGUAUGUUCGCUUUUUAUGUAUGGGAAUCUUUCAUUAAUUUAUGCCGGAAUAAACCAGAUUGUGCUAUUUUUAUCGCCA